AUCCUGCGGCCGCACACAAAUGGCCGCCCCCGUGCGGGGGCGGGGUCAUGUGGUGACGGCACUGCGGGGUCAGCCCGCCCCCAGCCCCGGAUAGCCAAUCACCACCUUGGGAGAGGGUCGCGGCUUGCGCGUCAAAAGAUCUCUGGAAGCAACCCCUGCCUUGGCAAAACAGUACCAACAUCCACCCCUCCAGAGAGACUUACAGGCCCUUCUGGGACACUGCUCUGUUCAAGUCUUUGCUGUUCAAACAGGGGCUGCAAAGAUAAGAAGCUGUGAGGACGUGGCGGCUGGCAGGGUCAAAAGGGAUAUUUACAGACAUUAAAUUACCUGUGAAGACUCUGUAUCUGUGCAGACCCCAUUAAUACUGGGAGCUUGUGUGGAUGGUGGCAACUGUGACUGGGAUCUAGAAUGACCAAAUGUGACACAGAAUAAUUAUCUGUGGCUUGCUUAGGCCCAGCCUCAGCCUCCUGGCCCAGGUGUCUAGCUCUUACCCAUCCCAGGCAGUGUCUGGAGCUUUCUGGCCAUCUAUCAGACUCCCUUCGGGCCGGCUAGCCAUUGGCUCUGGAGUAGAGGGCUGUUUUCUCCGUUCCUCCUCCUCCCUCUUUCUCUUCCGCUCCUUCUCCCGCUCUUCCAGCUGUCAAGAAAUGCUGAGAUCAGCAAGUAUCAUGGUGAAGAGAAAAGCUGAAGUGUCUCAGCUCUUGCCCAAUAAAAUAGGAAAGAUGGAGAAGAAAAUCUAAAAGAAGGCAGGGCAAGAAGCAGAGUGAUCUCAGUAGCACCCAGGUUAACUGGCAUCUGGUCAUGUAAUAGAAGAGCACUCUCCUCUCACACUCAGAGAAGCAGUGCAGUGGGAAGAGAAGAAAUGUCUCCUGAACAGUAAUGAAAACAGGGCUGGGGCUGCAGUGGGGCUGGCCACCUCUGAGGUCCCACAGUCCUCACCGCAGUGAGCUUCUCCAGUGCACUGAAACGCUCCUCCCAGGCCACUGCUGACUUCUGGAAGGCUUCAUGCCGCUUGAUGAGGCUCUCUACUUCAUCCACGGUGCAACCCAGCUCUGCACUCCGUACUAAUGGCUCCUGGCUGCAUAGCCAGGCCUCCGCCAUCCCUGCAUCUCUCCCAAACACAAGCACCUCCAAAACUGCCAUGGUAGGGGGGAUGUCAUAGAGAGAUGGAAAAUUAGAGUAUGAAAUGGCAGGGCAUGGUAGCAAUGGCAACCUCAAGUACAGGGACAGAGAACAUCAUUGUCCCAGAGUACUGUCAGGAAGUACCAAGUAUAGUAUCCUGGAAUUCCAUAUCCAGGGUUCUUGGGUUCAUGCACUGUGGCCACCACAGAUAGACAAUACCCAGGCCUUUCUCACAAGACCCCUCCCUCUUGCUGACACUCCCACAGUGGCUCACCAAGCUGCAGCCAGUCCAUCUUCUCCUGCCAUUUGUCAGCUGUCUCCUGGCGCCGGGACUGUAGCUGAGACAGCUUCUCUGAGAUCUGGGGGUAAGGUAAGGAGGCCUGACUUAGGGCCUAAUGGGGCCUUUCCACUGAAGUAUAGCAAUGAUUUAUAAUGUCAAGAGGAGAGAAAAAUAGUUCUAUGGGUAGAAAUGCCUGGGUAACAUUGAGAGGACAGUGAAAGAAUUCUUGCUAAGAAAGAAUGACAAGAAGACAGGAAAAAAAAAAAAAUCAAAGCUGGGCAUGAUGGUGCACACCUGUAUCCCAGUACUUGGAAGGACACACCAAGAGAAUUGUUGCCAGCCUGAGCUACAUGGUUGAGACCAUCUCAAGAAACAAAACAAAAACAAAACAAAACAAACAAAAACAAACAAACAAACCCAAAAACCAACCGAACAAACAAAAGGAACAGAAAGAGAAAUUUCAGGAAUAAUCCAUGUUCAGUGUGGCCAGUCAGGUUCUCUCCAAGUCUCACCCACCUCCUCAGCAGCAUAGUGGCUCCGGGCCAGCAGCUCCUGCCCCAUGUCAAUGCAAGAGGAGAACCGGUCUGCUCUGGCCUCUAUCUCUGCUUUGAUGCCUUGUUGAUUCUUGAUGACUAAAUCUGCAGAGGAUACAUCCCUAGGCCGAUACAAAGAUGGUAUCAGCAGCUGCCACAGCUCCACCACAGCCACCAGUAGUAUCACAUACCCUGUGGAGUGUGCCAGGCACUGUGGGUCUCACCGGGGCCGCUCCUGGGCAUCCAUCUGCAGGUUAAUCCCGUCCAUCCAAAGCAUCAAUUCCCGGACAGCCUUGAAGAACCGGAAUUUGUCCGUGGUGUCCAGUAACAGCUGACGACGGGCAGCAGAACUUCCUUGGAGCUGGGCCCAGGCCUCAGCUACUGCCUGCAUGUGACGGCCAAUCUCCUCAGCCUUAUCUCCAGCAUAGGCCUUCUGUAGCCUAUGGCCAUCGUCCUGAACCUGCUGGACCUGUGGGUACCCAGGUCUGAGUCAGGCAGAGCUGGGAGACAGAGGAGCUGAAGCUUCUCUUGUCCCUGCACUGCUUUUUACCUCCUGUUUGAUUCACCAGCCAAAAAGGUGGUAGGAAGAACCAAGGUUCAGAGCCCUACCUACCACCCUCUGUCCUACUGGACCUCAUCUGGGAAUAGGGCUCUAAAAUCAAGUUGAGCUAUCCUACCCAGGGUAGGAUAGGCUAGGACAUUGAAAAAAAAAAAAAAAAAAAAAAAAAAAAAAAAGGAAAGGGGCAGCCUGCAGAGUCAAUUUGGGUUGGGGGCUGACUGGUCACAUGGGGUUGAAGGAAUGAUCUGUGUUAAUCUCAUAAAUCCAGAAUUCUGGCCUGAGUGUCAUCAACAGGUGGAUUUGGGCAUGAAGAAUCUUGCAGCCAUUGGGACCACUGGAAAAAGUCAUGGGUCUUCAUUACAAAUGUGAACUGGGCCAGUGAGAUGCCUCAAGGUGUCAAAAGCACUUGCCCAAGCCUGAUGACCAGAACCUAAAGUCCAAGAAUAGAAUCAAAGUCGUCCCCUGACCUCCAUACAUACAUCAAAGUACGUGUUCUCUGACGCAUGUGCAUGCGCGCAUGUUAUAAAGCAAGCCUGAAUGUAGUA